rnacentral:rRNA from 1 species
CCUACGGGAGGCAGCAGUGGGGAAUAUUGCGCAAUGGGCGAAAGCCUGACGCAGCGACGCCGCGUGAGGGAUGACGGCCUUCGGGUUGUAAACCUCUUUCAGCAGGGAAGAAGCGAAAGUGACGGUACCUGCAGAAGAAGCACCGGCUAACUACGUGCCAGCAGCCGCGGUAAUACGUAGGGUGCGAGCGUUGUCCGGAAUUAUUGGGCGUAAAGAGCUCGUAGGCGGCCUGUCGCGUCGGAUGUGAAAACUCGGGGCUUAACCCCGAGCCUGCAUUCGAUACGGGCAGGCUAGAGUUCGGCAGGGGAGACUGGAAUUCCUGGUGUAGCGGUGAAAUGCGCAGAUAUCAGGAGGAACACCGGUGGCGAAGGCGGGUCUCUGGGCCGAUACUGACGCUGAGGAGCGAAAGCGUGGGGAGCGAACAGGAUUAGAUACCCUGGUAGUCCACGCCGUAAACGUUGGGAACUAGGUGUGGGCGACAUUCCACGUCGUCCGUGCCGCAGCUAACGCAUUAAGUUCCCCGCCUGGGGAUACGGCCGCAAGGCUAAAACGUCAAAUGAAAUUGACGG